GAAAUAUGGAAUCUGGAGUCACACAAACAUUCAGUUAUGAUGUUACAGACAUGGGACAGAAUGUCAUUUAGAGAUAUAACACAAUUUCUGGUCAUUUUGUCACAUUUUCAUACCAACAGACACUAGGAAAAGGUGUGGAGUUUCUGGCUUCAUUCUAUGAUACAGUUCAUUUGGAAAGGGCUGACGUUUUCAGUACUCAACAGAGAUGCCUGAUGGAUUGUUCUCCACUCUGAAGAUUCAGCAUGUUCAGCCAGAGACUCCACUAUGUAUGCCAGCAGCUUGGC